rnacentral:rRNA from 1 species
GGUUAAGCGACUAAGCGUACACGGUGGAUGCCCUGGCAGUCAGAGGCGAUGAAGGACGUGCUAAUCUGCGAAAAGCGUCGGUAAGGUGAUAUGAACCGUUAUAACCGGCGAUGUCCGAAUGGGGAAACCCAGUGUGAUUCGUCACACUAUCGUUAACUGAAUACAUAGGUUAACGAGGCGAACCGGGGGAACUGAAACAUCUAAGUACCCCGAGGAAAAGAAAUCAACCGAGAUUCCCCCAGUAGCGGCGAGCGAACGGGGAGCAGCCCAGAGUCUGAAUCAGCUUGUGUGUUAGUGGAACGGUCUGGAAAGUCCGACGGUACAGGGUGAUAGUCCCGUACACCAAAAUGCACAGGUUGUGAACUCGAAGAGUAGGGCGGGACACGUGGUAUCCUGUCUGAAUAUGGGGGGACCAUCCUCCAAGGCUAAAUACUCCUGACUGACCGAUAGUGAACCAGUACCGUGAGGGAAAGGCGAAAAGAACCCCGGCGAGGGGAGUGAAAAAGAACCUGAAACCGUGUACGUACAAGCAGUGGGAGCACCUUCGGGUGUGACUGCGUACCUUUUGUAUAAUGGGUCAGCGACUUAUAUUCUGUAGCAAGGUUAACCGUAUAGGGGAGCCGCAGGGAAACCGAGUCUUAACUGGGCGUUAAGUUGCAGGGUAUAGACCCGAAACCCGGUGAUCUAGCCAUGGGCAGGUUGAAGGUUGGGUAACACUAACUGGAGGACCGAACCGACUAAUGUUGAAAAAUUAGCGGAUGACUUGUGGCUGGGGGUGAAAGGCCAAUCAAACCGGGAGAUAGCUGGUUCUCCCCGAAAGCUAUUUAGGUAGCGCCUCGUGAAUUCAUCUUCGGGGGUAGAGCACUGUUUCGGCUAGGGGGUCAUCCCGACUUACCAACCCGAUGCAAACUACGAAUACCGAAGAAUGUUAUCACGGGAGACACACGGCGGGUGCUAACGUCCGUCGUGAAGAGGGAAACAACCCAGACCGCCAGCUAAGGUCCCAAAGUCAUGGUUAAGUGGGAAACGAUGUGGGAAGGCACAGACAGCCAGGAUGUUGGCUUAGAAGCAGCCAUCAUUUAAAGAAAGCGUAAUAGCUCACUGGUCGAGUCGGCCUGCGCGGAAGAUGUAACGGGGCUAAACCAUGCACCGAAGCUGCGGCAGCGACACUAUGUGUUGUUGGGUAGGGGAGCGUUCUGUAAGCCUGCGAAGGUGACCUGUGAGGGUUGCUGGAGGUAUCAGAAGUGCGAAUGCUGACAUAAGUAACGAUAAAGCGGGUGAAAAGCCCGCUCGCCGGAAGACCAAGGGUUCCUGUCCAACGUUAAUCGGGGCAGGGUGAGUCGACCCCUAAGGCGAGGCCGAAAGGCGUAGUCGAUGGGAAACAGGUUAAUAUUCCUGUACUUGGUGUUACUGCGAAGGGGGGACGGAGAAGGCUAUGUUAGCCGGGCGACGGUUGUCCCGGUUUAAGCAUGUAGGCUGGUUAUCCAGGCAAAUCCGGAUAAUCAAGGCUGAGGUGUGAUGACGAGGCACUACGGUGCUGAAGUAACAAAUGCCCUGCUUCCAGGAAAAGCCUCUAAGCAUCAGGUAACAUCAAAUCGUACCCCAAACCGACACAGGUGGUCAGGUAGAGAAUACCAAGGCGCUUGAGAGAACUCGGGUGAAGGAACUAGGCAAAAUGGUGCCGUAACUUCGGGAGAAGGCACGCUGGUGUGUAGGUGAAGUCCCUGCGGAUGGAGCUGAGACCAGUCGAAGAUACCAGCUGGCUGCAACUGUUUAUUAAAAACACAGCACUGUGCAAACACGAAAGUGGACGUAUACGGUGUGACGCCUGCCCGGUGCCGGAAGGUUAAUUGAUGGGGUUAUCCGUAAGGAGAAGCUCUUGAUCGAAGCCCCGGUAAACGGCGGCCGUAACUAUAACGGUCCUAAGGUAGCGAAAUUCCUUGUCGGGUAAGUUCCGACCUGCACGAAUGGCGUAAUGAUGGCCAGGCUGUCUCCACCCGAGACUCAGUGAAAUUGAACUCGCUGUGAAGAUGCAGUGUACCCGCGGCAAGACGGAAAGACCCCGUGAACCUUUACUAUAGCUUGACACUGAACAUUGAGCCUUGAUGUGUAGGAUAGGUGGGAGGCUUUGAAGCGUGGACGCCAGUCUGCGUGGAGCCAACCUUGAAAUACCACCCUUUAAUGUUUGAUGUUCUAACGUUGGCCCCUUAUCGGGGUUGCGGACAGUGUCUGGUGGGUAGUUUGACUGGGGCGGUCUCCUCCCAAAGCGUAACGGAGGAGCACGAAGGUUAGCUAAUCCUGGUCGGACAUCAGGAGGUUAGUGCAAUGGCAUAAGCUAGCUUGACUGCGAGCGUGACGGCGCGAGCAGGUGCGAAAGCAGGUCAUAGUGAUCCGGUGGUUCUGAAUGGAAGGGCCAUCGCUCAACGGAUAAAAGGUACUCCGGGGAUAACAGGCUGAUACCGCCCAAGAGUUCAUAUCGACGGCGGUGUUUGGCACCUCGAUGUCGGCUCAUCACAUCCUGGGGCUGAAGUAGGUCCCAAGGGUAUGGCUGUUCGCCAUUUAAAGUGGUACGCGAGCUGGGUUUAGAACGUCGUGAGACAGUUCGGUCCCUAUCUGCCGUGGGCGCUGGAGAAUUGAGGGGGGCUGCUCCUAGUACGAGAGGACCGGAGUGGACGCAUCACUGGUGUUCGGGUUGUCAUGCCAAUGGCACUGCCCGGUAGCUAAAUGCGGAAGAGAUAAGUGCUGAAAGCAUCUAAGCACGAAACUUGCCCCGAGAUGAGUUCUCCCUGAGACUUUAAGUCUCCUGAAGGAACGUUGAAGACGACGACGUUGAUAGGCCGGGUGUGUAAGCGCAGCGAUGCGUUGAGCUAACCGGUACUAAUGAACCGUGAGGCUUAACCUU